CGGUUAAGUCCGCUAACGAGCGCAACCCUCGCUGUGUGUUAUAUGUGUCACACGGGACUGCCGGCUUAAGCCGGAGGAAGGUGGGGAUGAUGUCAAGUCAGCAUGGCCUUUAUAUCCUGGGCUACACACACGCUACAAUGGCCAACACAAUAGGUUGCUAAGCCGCGAGGUGGCGCCAAUCCAUAAAGUUGGUCUCAGUUCAGAUUGUAGGCUGCAACCCGCCUGCAUGAAGAUGGAGUUGCUAGUAACCGCAGGUCAGCUAUACUGCGGUGAAUACGUUCCCGGGGCUU
rnacentral:rRNA from 1 species